ACCGGUUAAACCGGGUCCAAACCGGGCCUGUGGGCCCAACCGGCACAGCACAUUUAAGUGAUUUACGGGCUCUUCUUCCUCACUUUCAGAAGCACGCUGAAGCUAAAAGCAGGGAGAAGAGAAAGAAGAAAAUUCCCGAACCCUUACGGCAACCUUCAACUCGCCGUAACUUCUCCGUCCAAGCUCCGAUUGCUGCACCGUUUGCGGCCACGCGUCCAUCGCGUCGAGCUCUACAUUUCUACCAAAACAAUUUUAUUGGUUGUGAAUAAAUAAUUGGAGCUUAAAAUUGUGAAUAUUGGAACUUGGAGGAAGCUGAGCCUAGUGUUUAUUGAGUUUUGGAGGGGCUGUGUUUGUAUUAAAUAAGUUGCCUUGAUCACUACGUGGAAAUCGGCCAAGAGAUGGAAGUAUGGAGGAAUGGCAAUAUGGAACUUGGAUUUAAGGUCGAGAGGCAUCUUAUUAGGCGUCUGGACACCCGAAGCGAAGUGGUUACUGCGUCAUUUUGUUGUACAGUGAUGUAUAUAUAUACUUAGCUUCCUCUCCGCAUAACUUAUUCUUUUGAUCCUCUUAGAGAUUUAUGGAGAGACAGGAUUUUGUUUAUGUAUAUUUGGAUUUUGGAUAUGUAUGUAUAUAUGUGUAAAUAUUCUUCGGCCAACCUUGGCUUUGCGGGCUGAGUUAAGAGCUUGUUAUUUUGUAUC